rnacentral:tRNA from 1 species
ACAUUGGUGGUUCUGUGGUAGGAUUCUCACCUUCCAUGUGGAAGACCUAGGUUUGAUUCCCAGUCAAUGUA